GGCGUGGUAUGUUCCAUAAAAGAGGCAGGUGGUGUGGUAUAUUCCAGGAGGAGGAAGACGACACAGUAUUUUCCAAAAAAAGACACAGGCAGUGUAGUAUAUUCCAAAUAAGAGGCAGGUGUCUUAGUAUAUUCCAAAGAAGAUGCAGGUGGCGUAGCAUAUUCCAAAGAAGCUGCAGACAGCAUAGUAUAUUCCAGAGAAGAUGCAGGCAGUGUCACAGAUUCCAAGAAGAGGCAAGCAGAGCAGUAUAUUCCAAAAAAAAAAGAGGCAGGCAGUGCAAUAGAUUGCAAAAAAGAGGCAG
rnacentral:lncRNA from 1 species